AUGUCAGCCCAAGGCCAGCGUCUAGCAAAUAAGUAUUGCUAUGAAUACUGUUUCCUUGAAAGUUACUUUGCCAAACCAAUCCUUUCAAAGAAAACGAAACUCCUGGGCCCAGCAGUGCAGAACAGACAGGUACCAGCUCUGCAGCAGCAGCUUCCAGCCAUGCCCUCCGGUCAGCCCCCGGGCGUCCUCCUCGCAGCACACACCAACACAACUCCCACCGAGUGCCCAAGGUGCUUUUCUCCAGUAAAGGCUGACAGAGAUGCCAGGAGGCUCACUCUCACAGGUUAAGAACUGCUUCACAGAACAAAUACGGAGGGAAAACUUUGUGAGAUUUCACAAGUGGUACUUCUGAGCCCGACCGUGCAGCUGCGCGCCUCGCUGAGAAGUGACCCGAGCACGUGAGCAGCCGGAGCACGGCGCAGCCGUUGCACUCCGCAGGUGCCCCGCGCUGAGGAAACCGUGAGAGAUUUGCACCCAAUCACGGCAGCUGCUGCCUCCUUCCAAACUUAAAUGAGCUUGCCCUCACCCCACCAUCACGAUGAGCCAUUAGUUGAUUCGGACGCCCGGCUAGCAGUACAGGCUUUCU
rnacentral:lncRNA from 1 species